CUAAUUUUGUCUAUAAGCGGCUUCCCCACUUGCACCCUUAUAUUAGUGUGUAGUACUGUUGAUAGCUCGAGCGACAUAAUUUUGGGCUGCUUGGGCUACAACUCUUUGGGCCUUAGAGCAGCAUAUGUUUGCUUGGACUAGGCUGCGUGUGAGCCGAAGGCCCAGCUCGAAAGCUUGAUGGGCUGUGGUGGCUUCAGGGCAGCGGCGGCGCAGACGAUCCCGUGAGUCCAGCCACGGGGGGCGGAGCGAAGCCACCGGCGGCGAGGUGGUGAAGGGGGCUGGAGGCGGCGUCCGUUCGAGCGGCGGCGGCCGGAUCGAUGGAUCGAGUCGAGCACCAUGCGCCCCUGUGUCCCGCGGCUCGGGUCGGCUCGGUACAGGCGGAAGUGCAGCGGCGGCGCCUCUCCUGGUGUUGUGCCAGGAAGGCCGCCACCCACCAUCCACCAAGCGUGCCAAGCCAUGGUCUCAACAAUACUUCUUUCUUCAAAGGGAUGAUGCUUGCAAAUCGUGUCGAUGCAAAAAGGCUACAGGUCAAGAAACAAAGAGAUGCAAAUUGUGCCACUAAAAAUCUAUUUGGCGGGCAAACGGGUAAAGCAAGCGACAUAUUGGUGGAGCAUGCCAAUCGCAAGGAAAAACUCUCAUGGACAUGC